rnacentral:rRNA from 1 species
UACGAAGGGGGCUAGCGUUGUUCGGAAUUACUGGGCGUAAAGCGCGCGUAGGCGGGUCGUUAAGUUAGAGGUGAAAUCCCAGAGCUCAACUCUGGAACUGCCUUUAAUACUGGCGACCUAGAGACCGGUAGAGGUGAGUAGAAUUCCUAGUGUAGAGGUGAAAUUCGUAGAUAUUAGGAAGAAUACCAGUGGCGAAGGCG